rfam:Candida tanzawaensis NRRL Y-17324 unplaced genomic scaffold CANTAscaffold_6, whole genome shotgun sequence.
GGGCGUGUGGUCUAGUGGUAUGAUUCUCGCUUUGGGAGACUGCUCAGUUUACUGUGCGGAAAACUUCAAGCAUGCGAGAGGCCCUGGGUUCAAUUCCCAGCUCGCCCC